rnacentral:lncRNA from 1 species
GGGAGGGAGAGAGAAAGUGAAUGAAAGAGCUUGAGAUAAAAGAGGAGGAGGUGGAGAGAGUGGUGAGGGAGAGAGAAAGUGAAUGAAAGAGCGUGAGAUAAAAGAGGAGGUGAAGAGAGUGUGGGGAGGUGGAGAGAGAAAGUGAAUAAAAGAGCGUGAGAUAAAAGAGGAGGUGGAGAGAGUGGGGAGGUGGAGAGAGUGGGAAGGGAGAGAGAAAGUGAAUGAAAGAGCGUGAGAUAAAAGAGGAGGUGGAGAGAGUGGGGAGGUGAAGAGAGUGGGGAGGGAGAGAGAAAGUGAAUGAAAGAGCGUGAGAUAAAAGAGGAGGUGGAG